AUACACAGUGGUCGUGUCGCUCCAACUCCUGGCCUGGCGGACAGACAUACACACGCCUCUGUUCUCUCUCUCUCUACCCUCAGAGAACUUUAGAGAACUCAAACUCCACCACAGAGUCAUUUUAUCUUGUACUAAAACUUACGGAUUAAUGGUUGAAAUUAAUAAAAGGAGUGGCUGGGGAAAAUGCAAAGUUUAGGAAAGUGUGAACGACGCUAGAGGAGAAGUUACGGAAGUAGAGGACCCCCUUUUGUACACAGGCUGUGACAGUGCUGAGGAAGAUAGUGACAUCAUACGAGUAAAGCGACAGGAUGCGGAAGGACUGUAGACCUGGAGAGUGAACACGACACCAUAACCCUAAAGGUCAUCAAGGAAUUUCGCAAGACAUAUUGAGCUGUUGACCGAAGGAUCUAUAGCGAGAGGUUGUGGUCUUGGUGACGUCUGGAGCCACCAUCCUCGUCAGCUCCGGCAGUAGUGGUGAGGGAACCUGAUCUGAAGACUUAAGCUGACAGGGCCUUCACUAAGGAGUUUGUGGCGUGAACUGCAGUAGAACCAAGACCUGAUUUUGGUUAGAGAGUUGAGAAGAGUUGAGGGGGUACACGGGUGGAGGAGCUGCCAGUCAUGGAUAGAGUGUAGACGAAUAGACAGAAUCUGGUCUUGCUGAGGAUUUGUCCGGGUCUAAGAUGUGAUCUGAUGAAGGAUAAUGACGGGACAAAGAAGAUGGUGUGAGGUGUUGGUCCCAGUUGACGACCUUCACGGAUCACUGAACUGUGUUUGAAAACUUGUUGACAUUAUCCCUCUAAUGACACCCACCCCGCGAUGACUAUCAGACACGGACCUUCAGAGUAGCAGGGGGGUGGU